GAUGAACGCUGGCGGCGUGCCUAAUACAUGCAAGUCGAACGCGCAGCGAGAGGUGCUUGCACCUUUCAAGCGAGUGGCGAACGGGUGAGUAACACGUGGAUAACCUGCCUCAAGGCUGGGGAUAACAUUUGGAAACAGAUGCUAAUACCGAAUAAAACUUAGUAUCGCAUGAUAUCAAGUUAAAAGGCGCUACGGCGUCACCUAGAGAUGGAUCCGCGGUGCAUUAGUUAGUUGGUGGGGUAAAGGCUUACCAAGACGAUGAUGCAUAGCCGAGUUGAGAGACUGAUCGGCCACAUUGGGACUGAGACACGGCCCAAACGCCUACGGGAGGCUGCAGUAGGGAAUCUUCCACAAUGGGCGCAAGCCUGAUGGAGCAACGCCGCGUGUGUGAUGAAGGCUUUCGGGUCGUAAAGCACUGUUGUAUGGGAAGAAAUGCUAAAAUAGGGAAUGAUUUUAGUUUGACGGUACCAUACCAGAAAGGGACGGCUAAAUACGUGCCAGCCGCCGUAAUAC
rnacentral:rRNA from 1 species